rnacentral:rRNA from 1 species
UACGUAGGGGGCAAGCGUUGUCCGGAAUCAUUGGGCGUAAAGAGCGCGUAGGCGGUCCGGUAAGUCCGCUCUGAAAGUCCGGGGCUCAACCCCGGGAGGCGGGCGGAUACUGUCGGGCUAGAGUCCGGAAGAGGCGAGUGGAAUUCCUGGUGUAGCGGUGAAAUGCGCAGAUAUCAGGAGGAACACCAAUGGCGAAGGCAGCUCGCUGGGACGGUACUGACGCUGAGGCGCGAAGGUCAGGGGAGCAAACGGG